GCUCUCUGAAAAUUAAUUAAGGGGGCAACUUAUAACACUGGGGAGCUCUGCUUGGGCAUGGCUGGUGCGGCUGGUGGCGAAAGUGGGGUGGCUGGCGGGCAGCCUGCGAUGGCAACCGAUUGCGUUGCCCUUCACGGGCACCAGGCCUUGCAGCUGCCCCUGAGCAGCUCCUCUGGGAAGGAUCCAGCGCUGAAGCAUCUCACAGUGCUGGGAGCUCCCUUCACAUCGGCCACGCUAAUGCUGAAAUUCCUCCUGUCCUCCUCCCUGCCAGGCGUCCAGCCAGGUGCGGGAGCACUCCAUCUGCCUCUUCCAAGCCGUGGUGGAGGCUGUGCUGCGGCAAAGGAAGAAGGAAAUGAAGAGGACGGUGCACAGGAGCCUUCUCCCACUCUACUUUCAUAUGAGAGACCAGAGUGAGAGCGUAGCAAAGGUACAGAUCUCAGAGCUGAGCAGUUAUGUGGGCAAGGGUGUGCUGAUGCCACAGGGUUGCUCUGGGGGAUCACAGAAUUUCUAGGUUGGAAGAGACCUCAAGUUCAUCGAGUCCAGCCUCUGAUCUCUUGCUGUGAUCUCUGGGAUCUCUCUCAUUGUGAGCUGCCUCCGAUGGUGGCAGUCCCGUGGCCUUGCCUUGGCCACUGAACCCAGUGCACGCUGCCCCCCACCACAGCCUCCCAUAACGCGCUGGGAAAGGCUCGCAGCCCUGCCAAGAGGAGGGGACAGAGGGUCUCCUUCCCAAGGCUGUGCUGCUACCUCCCAACCUCUGCUGCUCCGCAGGCCUCUGGGGAAGCUCUCGCCGUGGCUGCAAAGUUUCUGCGACGCAAGGAGCUCAAGCGCUUGGCCCAGACAGAACAGACGUGGAGGAUCGGGGAGUGCUUGCUGCAGCAGGACAGAGGCAGAGUAGAAGAAUACCUGCAGCAGAGCCAGCCCUACCUGCAGGACACUCAGACCGACUUGCGACUUGAGGCCGUCAGAUUCAUUGGUCUUGCUGCGCGCUACUGCGAGGACCAGAGCGAGGAGAAGCUGAAUGAAAUCCUCAGAG